UGUUAUUGGAGACUUCAAUGGGUUCUCCAAUGUAGAGUUCGAGUAAUUGGAAUCCAGUGGAAGUUUGAGUCAGGAGUCUAAUGCAGCCAAGAUGAUGUUUCUUUGGCUGCAGGUACUUCGGUAUAGUCGAUGGGUCGGUAGUAGUGUGCUUGGGAUAUUAUGACUGAAGCUCGCCGCGACAGUUGUAAUUGUUGGACCACGGGUUGUCCACUAUUUUAUAGGUUUGGUAUGGCUUGUGACGUUUGUGUCACUUAUUUUUUGUUAAGCCAUUAUUGUUAUAGUGUUAAUAAGACUCAAACAGAUAGAUGUUAAAUGGCUCUUUGUUGUAA